AUCGGUUCACCCUUUGGGUGAGGAAAGAGGGAAUCAGGUGAAAAACCUGAACAGACCCGCUGCUGUGAGUCGUCCUUUACGGAGCAAACAUAGUGUCACUGAGAUUUUCGGGAAGACGUUUGCUGCCAGACGACAAGUCAGAAGACCUGCCGAUGAGCA
rnacentral:ncRNA from 1 species